AGAUUGAACGCUGGCGGCAGGCCUAACACAUGCAAGUCGAGCGGCAGCACGGGUACUUGUACCUGGUGGCGAGCGGCGGACGGGUGAGUAAUGCCUAGGAAUCUGCCUGGUAGUGGGGGAUAACGCUCGGAAACGGACGCUAAUACCGCAUACGUCCUACGGGAGAAGGCAGGGGACCUUCGGGCCUUGCGCUAUCAGAUGAGCCUAGGUCGGAUUAGCUAGUUGGAGAGGUAAUGGCUC
rnacentral:rRNA from 1 species